rnacentral:lncRNA from 1 species
CCAGAAUUACUGCUUGUUAGUAGAAGUACUUACUAGUUAACUUUGCCUGUUUCAGAGAAAUUAAUAUAUGUGGAAAAAUUGGAUAAGCCUUUGGAAAUACAGCUGGUUUUCAGAUCCUGAGGUUUGUUUCUUUCCAGCUGGUGCUGGCUGGUUGAAGAAAGGACAAUCCACCCCCUUGCUGACUCCAAAGCUGUGUGGGCCUGAACUGAGCUAAGGGCAAGACCUGCAUUAACUCUGCAAUGAUGGCAAGACUCCAGAGGCUGGAAGAAAGACAAGAACACCGGGAAGUGAUAAGAGGGAAGAUAGUGGGUGGAGACAGGAUCAUAAAAGAGCUAGCUGAGAAACUGGCCAGAAGAAGUUGUAUGGACAUCAGGAACCUCCUGUCAGCUCCUCCUCUUCACAUGACACCCUCCCAUUUAAACAGACCCUAAGCAAAGUGUCACAAUCCUGUUGGGAGUAUUCAGCUUAAUAUCACUCUUGGGGAUGGGUUGCCUGGCAGAAUUGAGUUUGCAACAGUUUGGAAACCACUUGUGCAGAUGCAAUCACAUCAAUUCUUUCUUUUCUGCUCACAAUGCUUGAUACCUUCCUUUCUGCUUUAAAUAGUCCUGGUUAGGCUUCCAGUGCUGGGGUUUAUUACCACAAGUCCCCUAUUUACCCAGAGAGAAAAUGAGGCAAUGAUCUCAUAAGAGGAAAACAAAAGGUUCACAUUUCCUCUAGAGUAAGUAGGUCAGUGCUGUGAGACGUGAUGGAAGAGGAUCCCAUGAUGCCCACGGGGUGACUAGAGGAGGCUGGACAGGCAGCAGGGUUGCCUGGAGAGCUCCAGUGGACCUCAGCACUGGCCCUCCUGCUGGCAAAGGUGUGAAAGAGUUUCACCAUGUAACCAAUCACAGCAACACUUCCAUAAACACUGGAAGUCCAAUGAGACCCUGGUCUCCACCUUGUGCUCAGGGGGAAGCUUGUGGGCCAGGAGGGCUGUUGCCUUGCUCUGGACAGGGAGCCAAGAGACCAGGCAGCCUUGUUUUGUGAGCAUCUGGACACUGCGUACCCUUCCUCCUUCCUCAUUUGUAUAAUAGGGUUAAUAAACA